UACGAAGGGGGCUAGCGUUGCUCGGAAUCACUGGGCGUAAAGGGUGCGUAGGCGGGUCUUUAAGUCCGGGGUGAAAUCCUGGAGCUCAACUCCAGAACUGCCUUUGAUACUGAGGAUCUUGAGUUCGGGAGAGGUGAGUGGAACUGCGAGUGUAGAGGUGAAAUUCGUAGAUAUUCGCAAGAACACCAGUGGCGAAGGCGGCUCACUGGCCCGAUACUGACGCUGAGGCACGAAAGCGUGGGGAGCAAACCGG
rnacentral:rRNA from 1 species